rnacentral:tRNA from 1 species
AGCCUACUAGCUCAAUUGGAAGAGCAUUUCGCAAAAGCGCAAAAGAUGCGGGUUCGAAUUCCACGUAGGCUC